rnacentral:rRNA from 1 species
GAUGAACGCUGGCGGCGUGCCUAACACAUGCAAGUCGAACGGAAAGGCCCAAGCUUCCUUGGGUUCUCGAGUGGCGAACGGGUGUGUAACACGUGGGUGUUCUGCCCUGCACUUCGGGAUAAGCCUGGGCAACUGGGUCUAAUACCGGAUAGGACCACUUCUUGGAUGUUGUUGUGGAAAGCUCUCACGGUGUGGUAUGAGUUCGCGGCCUAUCAGCUUGUUGGUGGGGUAGUGGCGUAACAGGGCGUCGACGGGUAGCCGGCCUGAGAGAGUGUACGGACGCAUUAGAACCGUGCGACAGGCCGGAGUCCUGAAGGAUGCAGCAGUGGGGAAAGUUGGACCAAGCGAGCAAGCGUGAGUGAGGAACGUCGCGGGAGGGUAGACGGCUUUCAGGUUGUAAGCACCUCUCGCUAGGGACGAAGCGUUUUUGUGACGGUACCUAGAGAAGAAGCACCGGCUAACUACGUG